AGUGAACGCUGGCGGUAGGCCUAACACAUGCAAGUCGAACGGCAGCACAGUAAGAGCUUGCUCUUACGGGUGGCGAGUGGCGGACGGGUGAGGAAUACAUCGGAAUCUGCUUUUUCGUGGGGGAUAACGUAGGGAAACUUACGCUAAUACCGCAUACGACCUACGGGUGAAAGCAGGGGAUUUUCGGACCUUGCGCGAUUGAAUGAGCCGAUGUCGGAUUAGCUAGUUGGCGGGGUAAAGGCCCACCAAGGCGACGAUCCGUAGCUGGUCUGAGAGGAUGAUCAGCCACACUGGAACUGAGACACGGUCCAGACUCCUACGGGAGGCAGCAGUGGGGAAUAUUGGCCGAUGGGCGCAAGCCUGAUCCAGCCAUACCGCGUGGGUGAAGAAGGCCUUCGGGUUGUAAAGCCCUUUUGUUGGGAAAGAAAAGCAGCAGGUUAAUACCCCGCUGUUCUGACGGUACCCAAAGAAUAAGCACCGGCUAACUUCGUG
rnacentral:rRNA from 1 species